AAGAGGAAGUGGCUUAAUGUUCCCUCCUGUUUGUAAUUCCCCUACUGCCAUCAUCCUCCUAAGAGCACAGCGUGGCCUCUUGCCCACCAGUCUCUUACCUCACCUCACCGAAGAUUGGCUGCCCUUUCUCUUCCAUCUCCAACCCCUCCUCUACCUUCCUUACCUCCUGCCAUAAUGACUGGAGCCCCAGCAGUCAUACUGGACCAUGAGGUUUCUUGAAAAUGGAAGCCACAAGCCAUCCAUGGAAAGAGGGCUUAUUCACAAAAUGAAUGUAGCAGAAGAAAGAAUUGGGGAACAUGAAGAGAGGUCAAUGGAAAUUAUCCACACUGAAACUUAAGAAGUAAAAAAGGAGGAGAAAAAAAACUAGCAUUUCAAAAACCGUAGGAUAAUAUGAAAUGGUUUAACAUACAUGUAAUUGAGUCCCAGAAGAAGAGACAAGAGGCCAGAAGAAACGAUCACAGCUGAGGUUUUCCCCAGAUGAAUGAAAAACAACAAUCCACAGAUGCAAGAAGCUCAGAUAACCCUAAGCAAGAUAAAAAUGAAUAAAAGCACACCUGGGCACGUCCUAGACAAACUGUUGAAAAUCAGCGUGAAGAGGAAAUCUUUGAAGGCAGCCAGAGAAUAAGGAAAUAGUCCAUAAGGAAGACAUUCUAUGAAGCAGACUUCUUAUCAGGCACUAUGCAAGCAGAAGAUGAUGGAAUGACAUCUUUAACAUAGUUAAAGAAAAAAAUCCACCUAGAAUCUUACAUUCAGUGAAAAAAUUUUAAAUGAUGAAAACAUUUCAUAAAUAAAAAAUAAAGAGUUUUUUUGGCAAAUAGAAGAGAAUUUUUCAUCAUAAGUACUACACUACAAGAAAUUUUAAAGUAAAUUCUCCAGGCAGAAGGAAUCUGAGACUGGAAAGAAAUUCAGAUCUACACAAAGGAAUGAGGAGUGCUUGAAACCACUGUUCUGCCGUAGUGACAGAAAAAAAUAUUAAA